AUACUUACCUUGUUGCGAAGUGGCAGCUCACGAAUUGCUUACUUCUAGCAGAACCUCCUGCAUUGCACAGCGCGGAGAAGAGCUGCUACGAGUCUCCUUCGGGGGCCUCGGCGGCGUAAUUUUUGAUGGUCUUCACACAUUACAUGUCGC
rnacentral:snRNA from 18 species